UACGUAGGGUGCAAACGUUGCUCGGAAUUAUUGGGCGUAAAGCGCACGUAGGCGGCUCUGUAAGUCGGAUGUGAAAUCCCUCGGCUUAACCAAGGAAGUGCAUCCGAAACUGCAAGGCUUGAGUACUUAAGAGGAUCGCGGAAUUCCCGGUGUAGAGGUGAAAUUCGUAGAUAUCGGGAGGAACACCAGUGGCGAAGGCGGCGAUCUGGGAAGAUACUGACGCUGAGGUGCGAAAGCGUGGGGAGCAAACAGG
rnacentral:rRNA from 1 species